rnacentral:rRNA from 1 species
UCCUACGGGAGGCAGCAGUGGGGAAUAUUGGACAAUGGGCGAAAGCCUGAUCCAGCCAUACCGCGUGUGUGAAGAAGGCCCUAGGGUUGUAAAGCACUUUAAGUUGGGAAGAAAAGUUAUUGGUUAAUACCCAAUGACCGUGACAUUACCAUCAGAAUAAGGACCGGCUAAUUCCGUGCCAGCAGCCGCGGUAAU